CCCCCUAGUGGGGAAAGGCCCCAUUCCCCAAAUCCAUGACUCAUGUCUGCUCUGGGGAGCUUUAGCCCAGGGGUCCCCCCCAGCCACUGACCCACAGGGGUUCUGCGCUGUCGACCGACGCAGCCUGUCCCAUCCCCAGCCACAGCGCUGCAGCCGACCCAGCGCUAGCAACCAAACGCCUCGCGCCAUCCCCACCCCCCUAACGUUCUCUCUUUCCAUGGCACCGGGCAAUCCCACAUCUACAGCCAGCCGAUGAACAUGGGCAAAGUACCACAGGUGCUGAGUUUUCCCACAAGCCAGAGACGGAGUCACCCUAUGAGGAACUCCAAGGACGGACCCAGGAUAUUUACGACGAGUUGGUCUUACCCCAAGCUGGUUCCCACUAAGCUCUGCUGAAAUCCCGACCAGCCGGGGACCCCUCUGCACGGCCAGGACCUUAAAGCCAUCGCUCAGUGGGGCCAGAUCCCAGCAGGGGUCCACAAGUGCGGACUUUCCAUUGUGCU